rnacentral:tRNA from 1 species
AAGGACGUAGCGGAGCUUGGUCACCGCGCUCCCCUCGGGCGGGAGAGAUCGCAGGUUCGAAUCCUGUCGUCCUUGCCA